CGCGGGAUGGAGCAGUUGGCAGCUCGUCGGGCUCAUAACCCGAAGGUCGUAGGUUCGAGUCCUGCUCCCGCAA
rnacentral:tRNA from 1 species